rnacentral:rRNA from 1 species
UACGGAGGGGGCCAGCGUUGUUCGGAAUUACUGGGCGUAAAGCGCACGUAGGCGGCUUUGUAAGUUAGAGGUGAAAGCCCGGAGCUCAACUCCGGAAUUGCCUUUAAGACUGCAUCGCUCGAAUCAUGGAGAGGUGAGUGGAAUUCCGAGUGUAGAGGUGAAAUUCGUAGAUAUUCGGAAGAACACCAGUGGCGAAGGCGACUCACUGGACAUGUAUUGACGCUGAGGUGCGAAAGCGUGGGGAGCAAACAGG